rnacentral:rRNA from 1 species
GACGAACGCUGGCGGCGUGCCUAAUACAUGCAAGUCGAACGCAGUGGGGACGGGUGAGUAACACGUGGGUAACAUACCAUCAGAGGGGAUAAACCUUGGAAACAAGUGCUAAAACAGAUACUGAAGGAGGGACCAGCGGUGCAUGAAUUAGUUGGUGAGGUAACGGCUCACCAAGGCCACGAUGCUGAGACGACCUGAUAGGGUGUAAGUCCACACUGGUACGUAGACACGGCCCAGACGCCUACGGUAGGCAUCAGGAGGGAAUCGUCGUCAAUUGACGAAAGUCUGACAGAGAAAUGCCGCAGGAGUGAAUAAGGUUUUCGGAUCGUAAAACUCUGUUGUUAGAGAAGCGGUAUCUAACCAGAAAGCCACGGCUAACUACGUGCCAGUCGCGGCGGUAAUUC